UAAUUUUUAGAAAAACGGGUUCGACGUGUGCAACAUUCCUAUAGAAUAUUAUUUUUUUCUGAUGUACAUCUUGUAGUGAUGUAGUAGGUUUUAAUUAUGCAAAAGUGAUGUAAUAAUUAAGGCCAUGUAAAGGAAUGUGUUUUGCGCAGCGUCGACGUUUUUCAAAUUAAAUUUUGGCAUAAGUACUUAUUUUUUAUCUGUGCGAUGAUAUUAUGAGAUUAGUUCUCCUCGUAUGAAUGUUUUUUCAAGAAAAGAUAUGUUCUUCAAUAUGGAUGAGUUCCAAAUUUUGGAUAAGUUUCAAAAUUAAUAGAAAAUUAAUAAGAUUGUAGUAUUUUGAACCGACAUUGGGGUGAUGAUUACGAGCAUAGCGAAGUUUUCGAUCCCGUUGUGUCGAGGAUAAUGUUCCAAUCUUGUUAAUUUUUUGGGAAUAUGUGCCUAAUGUCCAAACCUAUUUUU
rnacentral:lncRNA from 1 species